AUGUCACUCUCAAGCAAGGUUAGUGAAAAAUAUUCAUCCGAUGAGCAUCUUUUUAGUGUUUUUUGCUGUGAUUUCUCACUGAUUAUUUUUGGGAAGCUCUCCUAGUUGAAAUUUGUGACCCUUGAUUUCAACAAUUUACAAGGUUCUUUGCCCUCAUCUUUGAUGAAUUUCACAAACCUUGUAGAACUACACUUGGGUUCCAAUCCAACAACUUGGAAGGAGAUAUCUGCAUGCUUCAUUUUUCCAGACUUAGUCAAUAACUUUACUGGUACGUUUCCAAUAAGCAUUUACUCAUGUAGGUCCCUAAAAGCAAUUCAAUUGACUUCAAGUCAUCUAGGGGGGCAAAUACAACCUCAGAUUCUUUCAUUGAAAUACUUGUCCUCCCUCUCAAUUGGUGGCAAUAGAUUGACCAAUGUCAGAGGAGCAAUGAAAAUGCUAAUGCGUUGCUUUCAGAACCCUUUAUAA
rnacentral:lncRNA from 1 species